CACUUCAACAAAUGAGCUAUGCACAUAGGCGUCAUUGUUAACAAAAAGAGGUGGGGUCAAGCUAAAUGUUUAUUGCCAAAUACAAAAGUAGCAUGGAGAAAAGGAGACACAGACGGCAGAUUGCGAGCCUCUUUAGGAAAUCUUGGACAUGUUUCAGGAGAACUAAUCCACAGCCAAAACUUUAAAGGAAAACACCGAGCAUCUGUUGGAAGAAAAUCCUUUGCUCAGCAACAAUGCCACCUACCGCACACCGUGAUUAUGUGCCAGAAAGAUAGGCAGGUUUUUGCUUCAUUGAUCUUACAGCCCUUCAACAUUUUACUUCAUCUCCUAUCAGGACUGGUUCAAGCUGGAGCAGCAAAUGGCACUCCUCAUCCACUUGCUUAGUAGUCAGCCAAAUUAUUUUGGCACAGGAGGCAAAAAUCCCACAACCGCCUGCUCCUUUUCUGACAGCAAAAAUGUGAUAAUAACAACUUAAAUAACUAACUGUUUUGCUUCCCUUUCAUGAUGUCCCAGGACUGCUGCCUGAGGCUGCUGGUUCCCUCUGCCUGAUGGCAGGACCAGACUGAACUUCAUGGGUCUUCUAAGCCCCUUGGGUGUUAAGAUAUUCUUUACAGUAAUGAUAGAAGAACUUUGAUAUGGGCCCCUUUCAAAUCUAAGGAUUUCUUGAAUAACAUGAGACUCAAUGAGGUCUUCAAAGUGUGCUGUUUGGAGUGUGAAAGCUAAAAAGAUUUCUCAGUAUUUCCCCUGUCGAGAAGCUGCAGAAUCAAAUCACGUAUUACUUUAAAGAUGGAGCUUUAAAGAGAACUACUGAAGAUGGUAGCUAUGUCUUUUUCUUCUUUAAUUUAAAAAAACCCUAUGAUCUCAUUUGGGUUCUUUGCCCCCUCUAUUCUGCUCAUCUGAAUUAAUUUACAUUGCCCCCAUCACACCAAAAAGGAUCAAGUAUGUGUCACUAUAUCAUUUUGGGCAAUGCUGAUUGUAGUUUUGUUGCCCCCAACCUGGAUGUGGACUGUACUGAAGAAUGUAAAGAACUGAAGCUCCUUAACCUUCAUGCUGGACCCCCUGCUUAUUUUUGGAGUAAAGAGGGGGAAGAGAUAUGGGUGCUAGCUAUGGACAGAUCCAGUUAUUGGUGCCAAUUCGAGCAGACUCAGGGAGCUGCACAUUCCUUCUUAGUCCUAUUAAUUCAGUGGCUCUACUCAGUCAGGACUCCUAUACGAUGAUACAAAGUUGUGUGCCCCCGUAAUCUGAAAUCUUUCAUUAGCAGCAGUGCUGCUGGUGAUGUAACUCCCAUUACUCUGGCAAAAUUAC
rnacentral:lncRNA from 1 species